CACACACUGUGUGUUAUGCACCUCUUUCUCUCUCACUGACUUGAUAUUUACUGCGCACCUUAAAAGCCCUUCAUGGUUUCAUGUUAGACGUGUCACCGUGGUAUUCCAUGUAUGCAGCUUCACUGAGCCGGUGCCGUUUGAAUAACACACUUCAGGCCGUUCUUGUAAAACAUUAUUAUAUGCACAAACCUUGAAUCCACCAGAUAAUCAAGUGAUAACAGCUGUUUGUACUUUGUGUAAAGAACUCCCACAGCUCCCACAGACCUGCAUGGUCUCUGUGUCCUCCUUGGCGUAGUGGGACUCGGCCGUGGUGGCGUAGGGGAAGGCGUCCGCGGUGAUCAUGGUGACCUGGGUGGGUUCAAGGCCGUAGGGGUCGUAUUCCCUCUCCCCGGACCUCGCGUCCUCGUCGUAGCUGUGAGUCGGCUCCGGUGGAUACUCUGAUGGCACAGAGGAGACUGUUAAACGCACAAUGAGUAAUGUUCUGCCACGAGGAGUCUUAUCCACAGUCUCUCCGCAUGAGGGGAUACAACGGCAUUAUGGACCUCUCCCUUUGCUGGUCACAUGUCAUCAGGUCACAGCAGACAGUGACUCACCUGGCUGAGGAGAGACGAUGUUGUCGUAGCUUUCGACCACAGAGCCUUCAUAGACCUGAGUGGUGUCCAGAAUAUUCCUCCUGGCAGAGAGACGAGACGACACACAUGAAGACGAGCAGCGCCGAGAGGAGAGACGCCUGCAGGGAAACACCUUCAUCAAAUAUCUGAAAACAAUCUGUGUGAAGACAACACGGCAGGAGUUACCCCCCCCCCCCCCCCACAGUAACACAAUGGAGAUGAAGUUAAGUCCUGACUAACUCCACAAUGAUGUCAUCGUGUUCAGCUGAUGAUCUAAGAGUUAGAGUUAGUUUCUUCUUUACUUUAAUGUAUUUAUAUAUAUGUAUAUCUUUUGAUUUAUUAUGAUGUAUAUAUAUUUGUAUUCUGUGUUCGUCACUAUAUACUCUUAUUGUUCUUAUUUAGUUGGAGAAUGUAAAAUAUGACUGGAACAUCGCACUUGAUAAAAGAAAAACAUAAAAACUAAAUAAAAUAAAAGCUUAUGG